rnacentral:rRNA from 1 species
UGGGGAAUAUUGCACAAUGGGCGGAAGCCUGAUGCAGCAACGCCGCGUGAGGGAUGACGGCCUUCGGGUUGUAAACCUCUUUUAGCAGGGAAGAAGCGAAAGUGACGGUACCUGCAGAAAAAGCGCCGGCUAACUACGUGCCAGCAGCCGCGGUAAUACGUAGGGCGCAAGCGUUAUCCGGAAUUAUUGGGCGUAAAGAGCUCGUAGGCGGUUUGUCGCGUCUGCUGUGAAAUCCCGAGGCUCAACCUCGGGUCUGCAGUGGGUACGGGCAGACUAGAGUGCGGUAGGGGAGAUUGGAAUUCCUGGUGUAGCGGUGGAAUGCGCAGAUAUCAGGAGGAACACCGAUGGCGAAGGCAGAUCUCUGGGCCGUUACUGACGCUGAGGAGCGAAAGGGUGGGGAGCAAACA